rnacentral:rRNA from 1 species
UACGAAGGAUGCGAGCGUUAUCCGGAUUUAUUGGGUUUAAAGGGCGCGUAGGCGGCCUUUUAAGUCAGUGGUGAAAUCCUAUCGCUUAACGAUAGACGUGCCAUUGAUACUGUAGGACUUGAGUACAGAUGCCGUUGGCGGAAUGUGUCAUGUAGCGGUGAAAUGCAUAGAUAUGACACAGAACACCGAUUGCGAAGGCAGCUCACUAAGUCAUAACUGACGCUGAUGCACGAAAGCGUGGGGAGCAAACAGG